UCGGGAGGAGUAGAUGAUCGCCGGAAUCAACCAAAUCGAAACCAGCUCUGCAGCAUGGUGGAGGAGCGAUUCGGGUUAGAGUCUCUAAAGCUAUUGAUCUUGCUCCUGAGUUGUCUAUCCAAUAGUUUGAAGAUCUGAUCCACGGUCCUGAAAGUAUUUGUAUGUAGGCGAGCGUUGCCAAUCCCUUUGAGGAAGUAGUUGGAGUCUUUUAGCUAUGAUUUGCCACAAUUCAUAGCUGUAGUUACAUGUGAAGAACAGAUGAUCUCGAGACUCUUGAUUCGAAUUGCAGAGGAGACAUCGAUCAUCGACCUGAAUUCCCCAAUUUAUCAGCCUAUCCCGAGUUGGUAUUCGGUUCAGUACUACCAGCCAAGCAUGAAAGUUAUGGCGUGGAAUGGCUCGAGAGAUCCAAACUGCCUUAUGCCAAAAGACAUUUGGUCUCGGUUCACAAAGCUGAAUCGUUGUUAGGUAGGAAUACAGCUCGACCUGCGCCUCCGAAUGAGCUGGUGGGAGACUCCAAGUGCCAUCUACGAGCAGUGAGGAGACAAUAGCAUGUAGAGCCUCAACUUGAUCAACAGAAACACAACACUCUUAAGCUUGAGAAGCUUGUUUACGAGCCAGGAGUAGGAUUGCCGGGUUGGUGUUGUCCAGUAGUUAUGAACCGAGCCUUUGAGUAUUACUUCCUUGAACCAUUGGACCCAAACCGAUUCCGGCCUGAAGAAGAGGAGCCAGAGUAGACGAAGAGUGCAGGCCUUGUUCCGGGUUUGAAAAUGCUACAAAGAGAGUUGAUACGCUUGAUGCACCCCUUCGGGAGGAUGAAUGCAGAGCACCAGAAGGUUGUGAUACCUGCAAUUACCGUCUUGAUGAGGAGAAGCCUUCCUGAAAAGGAGAGAGACUUCACUGACCAAGAAGAGAACCGAGCUUUGAUUUGAUGAAGCAGAGGCUCACAGUUGGUUAGCGUCAGUUUCCUUGAGUUCAGCGGAACUCCUAAGUAGCGGAACUGGAGAGAUCCUUGAGACAUGCCAGUAGAAGCUUUGAUCGUGUCUAUUUCCCCCGAUGACAAGCCUGAGGCAUAGAAGCUAGUCUUUUGCAUACUGACAGCCAAGCCUGGCCGUAAUUCAAACUCUUUUAAGACUUGUAGCAACUGCUGGACAGAGUCAAUUGAGCCAUCUAUAAAGAUGAGGAGAUCAUCAGCAAAAGAGAGACACAAGCUCUGAUCUGGCGGAUAAAGUGUGUUGGAAGUUGAAGUCCUUCAAGGCAAGCGAACAAGAAUUCCCAAGAUAAGGUAUCAAAAGCCUUAGCAAUGUCUACUUUGAUGGGAACUUAGGUACUAAGGAAAGGAUGGUAGCAUUUGUAGUAGCCGGGAGGAAGUUGGUUGCGAAGAAGUUUCUGAUGGCUGAGACUGCGACACGCGAUUUCUGUCUGAAGAACAUCUCCUCUAUUUCUCGCAGAAAAUUCCAUUUUUGAUGGAGGUCUCUUUUAGCUUGGAAUGUAGUGGGAUUGGGAUCUUGAAGAGCUUGUACCUGCGCAAUUUGCAACAAACUCUUCUGUUUCAGCAGGAUGAAGAGUAUACAAAAGACAGUUUCUCACUAUGUGGCCAAGCUCAUGGCAAUGAGAGCAGGUUGGAGGUACUCAUGGGUAAUUAACCGAGACCUCAACAACUUCACCAUCUUCCCUUUCAAACUCAACGAUAGAAGGUAGCGGUUUAGUUAGAUCAACCUUCACCUUUACAUGAGAUAAGGUCCAACGGAACUCCGGUGAGGUGGGCUCAUAUCUGGAUGGCCUUUAGCGGUGGAGUAGCUUUGGAAUGGGCAAAGGACCACUGAGCAGUAUGGAACAUUGAAUCACCUACAUACCAGAUGUUCUUUUCCAAGAUCUUCUACCUAAGAAUCAUGGAUUAGGACUCGAGGCCUUCCUGACGGAGCAAUGGUAACCAGAGCAAGACGACGAAGAGUCUUGUUCUCGGAGAGACGGAUUUUCUCAACUAAAGUUGGUGGAGAUGUCGUGGGAGAGGGUUUAUUAUGGGUAGGGUGUUGGCUAGUUUCAGGCUGUUUAGAGAGGUCAUGGCUUGGUAACAGGGGAGUUGUGGAGGAGGCUUUAUUAGUUUGGAUAGGGGAUGAGGAUUGCAGAGGUUGUAUUGUGAAGUUAAGGUUAGGGUUUGGCUCAGUUCCAGAUUGAGGAGCAGUGAUUGUUCCAAAGCACAGAUCUAGAACAGUUGUAGUAGAAAUUGUACGAGCAUCUGCCACAAGCUCAGUUGAGGAGGUAGUUUCAGCAGACAGCUUUGUGAGCUCCUGCAGUAGAAGGUUGAGUUCCUUUAUGUACUAUAGAAGAAACAAUUACAGAUCUGUAGUUGGAAGGUUUGGGAAUUGUUUUGGCAUCGGAAAGUGAAGGGAAAUUGUGUGGUGA